GUAGGGGGCAAGCGUUAUCCGGAUUUAUUGGGUUUAAAGGGAGCGUAGGCCGGAGAUUAAGCGUGUUGUGAAAUGUAGACGCUCAACGUCUGCACUGCAGCGCGAACUGGUUUCCUUGAGUACGCACAAAGUGGGCGGAAUUCGUGGUGUAGCGGUGAAAUGCUUAGAUAUCACGAAGAACUCCGAUUGCGAAGGCAGCUCACUGGAGCGCAACUGACGCUGAAGCUCGAAAGUGCGGGUAUCGAACAGGAUUAGAUACCCUGGUAGUCCGCACGGUAAACGAUGGAUGCCCGCUGUUGGUCUGAAUAGGUCAGCGGCCAAGCGAAAGCAUUAAGCAUCCCACCUGGGGAGU
rnacentral:rRNA from 1 species